GAUGAACGCUGGCGGCGUGCCUAAUACAUGCAAGUCGAGCGAACAGACGAGGAGCUUGCUUCUCUGACGUUAGCGGCGGACGGGUGAGUAACACGUGGAUAACCUACCUAUAAGACUGGGAUAACUUCGGGAAACCGGAGCUAAUACCGGAUAAUAUAUUGAACCGCAUGGUUCAAUAGUGAAAGACGGUUUUGCUGUCACUUAUAGAUGGAUCCGCGCCGCAUUAGCUAGUUGGUAAGGUAACGGCUUACCAAGGCAACGAUGCGUAGCCGACCUGAGAGGGUGAUCGGCCACACUGGAACGGAGACACGGUCCAGACUCCUACGGGAGGCAGCAGUAGGGAAUCUUCCGCAGUGGGCGAAAGCCUGACGGAGCAACGCCGCGUGAGUGAUGAAGGUCUUCGGAUCGUAAAACUCUGUUAUUAGGGAAGAACAAAUGUGUAAGUAACUAUGCACGUCCUGACGGUACCUAAUCAGAAAGCCACGGCUAACUACGUG
rnacentral:rRNA from 1 species